UCCUGUUUGUGGAAAUCGUUAUCCUCCAGAUGACUUGGUCUUGCAUGCCAGUACAUGUGGUGAUCGUGAAGUGGAUGACCUGCAUCACACAGCACAUGAAUUCAGAGACACACUUCUCAAUUUUGCUGCUGAGAUGAACACUGACAUCCCAGCCAACAAUAAGGAAGUAGAACAGUGGAAAAAGGCCAGUGAUCCCCAAGAUGCUGCAGUUUUGUUUAAGAGGCAUCUCUUAAAGGAAAAGGAGGAGAACCCCACAAUCACAGCUAUCAUUGACAUUCGACAAGAUCAAACAUCCCAGAGCCGAGAGAUCAUUGCUUUCUACAAAAGACCACAGAUUGAUUGGGCAGGACCUUUUCGUUGUUCUUUACAAGGUGACACAGCUGUUGGCACUGGGGUCCAGAGACAUUUUUUCAGCAUGGCAAUGCUAAAGUUGCAACAUGGCUU